rnacentral:rRNA from 1 species
AGAUUGAACGCUGGCGGCAGGCCUAACACAUGCAAGUCGAGCGGCAGCACGGGUACUUGUACCUGGUGGCGAGCGGCGGACGGGUGAGUAAUGCCUAGGAAUCUGCCUGAUAGUGGGGGAUAACGCUCGGAAACGGACGCCAAUACCGCAUACGUCCUACGGGAGAAAGCAGGGGACCUUCGGGCCUUGCGCUAUCAGAUGAGCCUAGGUCGGAUUAGCUAGUUGGUGGGGUAAUGGCUCACCAAGGCGACGAUCUGUAACUGGUCUGAGAGGAUGAUCAGUCACACUGGAACUGAGACACGGUCCAGACUCCUACGGGAGGCAGCAGUGGGGAAUAUUGGACAAUGGGCGAAAGCCUGAUCCAGCCAUGCCGCGUGUGUGAAGAAGGUCUUCGGACUGUAAAGCAACUUUAAGUUGGGAGGAAGGCAGUUACCUAAUACGUAUCUGUUUGACGUUACGACAGAAUAAGCAACCGGCUAACUCUGUG